rnacentral:rRNA from 1 species
AUUGAACGCUGGCGGCAGGCCUAACACAUGCAAGUCGAGCGGAUGAAGGGAGCUUGCUCUUGGAUUCAGCGGCGGACGGGUGAGUAAUGCCUAGGAAUCUGCCUGGUAGUGGGGGAUAACGUCCGGAAACGGGCGCUAAUCCCGCAUCCGUCCUGAGGGAGAAAGGGGGGGAUCUUCGGACCUCACGCUAUCAGAUGAGCCUAGUUCGGAUUAGCUAGUUGGUGGGGUAAAGGCCUACCAAGGCGACGAUCCGUAACUGGUCUGAGAGGAUGAUCAGUCACACUGGAACUGAGACACGGUCCAGACUCCUACGGGAGGCAGCAGUGGGGAAUAUUGGACAAUGGGCGAAAGCCUGAUCCAGCCAUGCCGCGUGUGUGAAGAAGGUCUUCGGAUUGUAAAGCACUUUAAGUUGGGAGGAAGGGCAGUAAGUUAAUACCUUGCUGUUUUGACGUUACCAACAGAAUAAGCACCGGCUAACUUCGUG